rnacentral:lncRNA from 1 species
UCUCUGUUGGCUCUUCCUCACCGCCAUUUUUGUAGGGUUUACAAGUUCAUCCCAUGUUCUACACUCCAAUCAACAGAAAAAGAUAUGGAUCCAAAAAGCAAUAGUUGUUCUUUCUUGAAAUUAGUCGAUGUUCAUCAUCCUACAAAAGUGGAAAUACCGUAUGACUUACCACAUUACUGUGGGGAGAACAAUUCCCAUAUGGUGAUCGUAUUAAAAUUUUUGCUGCUGACAACUUAUGGAUUGUUGAAAUUGAAAAAUAUGGGUUGGGUCCUGUUUUAGGUGAUGGAUUUGGUAAAGUCGUUACGGACAGUGGUUUACAAAAAAAUGAUUAUCUGUUGUUCAACAGUCUUGGACCAUCUACAUGGUAUCUCGAUGUCUUUAAGUCAUGUGUUUUGGAUAACUCUUUUAUCACUUCCAUUAGAGUUGAUGAUGAUGAUGAUUUCAUUCUCAUGCUCGACAAAUUCUGGGGACAAUUUUACGGCAGCAGUUAUAAAGGUGGAUCAGCAACUCUUUAUGUCGGUGAUAGGUUUUGGAAUGUGAAGAUGGAGGCAUUGUCCGACAAAUGUGCUUUCACUGAUGGAUGGUCUAAUUUGAUUAGGGAUCUUGCAUUAGAUUCCCGGACUACUUUUAUUUUUACAAUGGCUGGAUAUGAGACUUUUGAGUUGUCCGUUUUUAAUCAUGAAACUGGUACUCAAAUGUAUUUCAAGAAGGUUGACGUUGUUGUGUUGGAUGAUCCUAUUUACGGAGAUGAUGGAUUUGAUUUACUGCUUGCGUCGGAACACAAAGAGAAGGUGAUUACCAACGAAAGUGAUGUUGAUGAAGAUCUUGGUG